AGAGAAUAGAUACCCAGGUAGUCCACGCCCUAAACGAUGUCUACUAGUUGUCGGGGAUUCAUUUCCUUGGUAAACGCAGCUAAACGCGUGAAGUAGACCGCCUGGGGAGUACGGCCGCAAGGUUAAAACUCAAAGGAAUUGACGGGGACCCGCACAAGCGGUGGAUGAUGUGGAUUAAUUCGAUGCAACGCGAAAAACCUUACCUACGCUUGACAUGCUAGGAACUUUCCAGAGAUGGAUUGGUGCCCGAAAGGGAACCUGGACACAGGUGCUGCAUGGCUGUCGUCAGCUCGUGUCGUGAGAUGUUGGGUUAAGUCCCGCAACGAGCGCAACCCUUAUCCUUAGUUGCUACGCGAGGGCACUCUAGGGAGACUGCCGGUGACAAACCGGAGGAAGUGGGGAUGACGUCAAGUCCUCAUGGCCCUUAUGUGUAGGGCUUCACACGCCAUACAAUGGUCGGUACAGAGGGUCGCCAACCCGCGAGGGGGAGCCAAUCCCAGAAAACCCGAUCGUAGUCCGGAUUGCAGUCUGCAACUCG
rnacentral:rRNA from 1 species